rnacentral:rRNA from 1 species
GACGUAGGGCGCGAGCGUUGUCCGGAUUUAUUGGGCGUAAAGAGCUCGUAGGCGGCUUGUCGCGUCGUCCGUGAAAACUCACAGCUCAACUGUGAGCUUGCGGUCGAUACGGGCAGGCUAGAGUUCGGUAGGGGGAGACUGGAAUUCCUGGUGUAGCGGUGAAAUGCGCAGAUAUCAGGAGGAACACCGGUGGCGAAGGCGGGUCUCUGGGCCGAUACUGACGCUGAGGAGCGAAAGCGUGGGGAGCGAACAGG